UACAGAGGUCUCAAGCGUUGUUCGGAUUCAUUGGGCGUAAAGGGCGCGUAGGCGGUCAGUGCAAGUCAGUUGUGAAAUCUCCGGGCUUAACUCGGAAAUGUCAACUGAUACUGCUCGACUAGAGUGCGGAAGGGGCAACUGGAAUUCUUGGUGUAGCGGUGAAAUGCGUAGAUAUCAAGAGGAACACCUGCGGCGAAGGCGGGUUGCUGGGCCGACACUGACGCUGAAGCGCGAAAGCUAGGGGAGCGAACGGG
rnacentral:rRNA from 1 species